rnacentral:rRNA from 1 species
GACGAACGCUGGCGGCGUGCUUAACACAUGCAAGUCGAACGAUGAAGAAGAGCUUGCUCUUCGGAUUAGUGGCGAACGGGUGAGUAACACGUGACUAACCUGCCCCUUUCUCUGGGAUAACGCUCCGAAAGGAGUGCUAAUACCGGAUACUCACAUCGAGGCACAUGCCUUGAUGUGGAACGUUUUUCGGAAAGGGAUGGAGUCGCGGCCUAUCAGCUUGUUGGUGAGGUAACGGCUCACCAAGGCGACGACGGGUAGCCGGCCUGAGAGGGCGACCGGCCACACUGGGACUGAGACACAGACCAGACUCCUACGGGAGGCAGCAGUGGGGAAUAUUGCACAAUGGGCGAAAGCCUGAUGCAGCGACGCCGCGUGAGGGAUGAAGGUCUUCGGAUUGUAAACCUCUUUCAGUAGGGACGAAGCGAAAGUGACGGUACCUAAAGAAGAAGCACCGGCUAACUACGUGCCAGCAGCCGCCGUAA